rnacentral:rRNA from 1 species
GACGAACGCUGGCGGCGUGCCUAAUACAUGCAAGUCGAACGAACUUUCUUACACCGAAUGCUUGCAUUCAUCGUAAGAAGUUGAGUGGCGGACGGGUGAGUAACACGUGGGUAACCUGCCUAAAAGAAGGGGAUAACACUUGGAAACAGGUGCUAAUACCGGAUAACAACACUAGACACAUGUCUAGAGUUUGAAAGAUGGUUCUGCUAUCACUCUUGGAUGGACCUGCGGUGCAUUAGCUAGUUGGUAAGGUAACGGCUUACCAAGGCAAUGAUGCAUAGCCGAGUUGAGAGACUGAUCGGCCACAUUGGGACUGAGACACGGCCCAAACUCCUACGGGAGGCAGCAGUAGGGAAUCUUCCACAAUGGACGAAAGUCUGAUGGAGCAACGCCGCGUGAGUGAAGAAGGGUUUCGGCUCGUAAAACUCUGUUGGUAGUGAAGAAAG